GGGGAUUUAGCUCAGUGGUAGAGCGUUUGCCUAGCAAGCGCAAGGCCCUGGGUUCGGUCCCUAGCUCCG
rnacentral:tRNA from 1 species